AGUUGAUUAUAUAGCGAGCUGGCAAACAUUGUGAGGGUAGAAAAUAUGUAGUAAUUAAUGAAAGAAGUUUAAACACACCAUAAUAAUUUAUAUAUAAUGAAUUAGUACAAUAUUUUACACUUUAUACAUUGCAUGGUAAGAUACAUGAGUGACUUAGUACCACAUAGAGUUCUUAUGAGGUUCAAAAUUUUCACUAUCUUCAUCAUCUUUAUGUGUAGAGUGAGUGUAUUGUGAAGAGUAGUUAUCAAAUGAUAAAUCCCCAAAAUAGUUUUGCAUGUAAUUGUUAACAUGGCACCCAUAUGGAUCCGAGAUUGGUUGACCUUGUCCAUAAGCAAAAUCAUCUGAAGAUUAAGUCUCGGAUUGUUUCCAUGAGUCACUCGAUUCCAUCCCAACAGGAAUCGGAUAUGAAGGGUAGGGAAAUGGUUGGUUAUGAGUAUAACCAUAGUUACUACUUCUCAAUCCAACA
rnacentral:lncRNA from 1 species